rnacentral:rRNA from 1 species
GCCCAGACUCCUACGGGAGGCAGCAGUGGGGGAUAUUGCACAAUGGGGGGAACCCUGAUGCAGCGACGCCGCGUGGGUGAAGGAGUAUUUCGGUAUGUAAAGCCCUAUCGGCAGGGGAGAAACAAGACGGUACCUGACUAAGAAGCCCCGGCUAACUACGUGCCAGCAGCCGCGGUAAUACGUAGGGGGCGAGCGUUAUCCGGAUUCACUGGGUGUAAAGGGAGCGUAGACGGCCAAGCAAGCCAGGUGUGAAAGCCCGGGGCCCAACCCCGGGACUGCCCUUGGAACUGCGUGGCUGGAGUGCAGGAGGGGCAGGCGGAAUUCCUGGUGUAGCGGUGAAAUGCGUAGAUAUCAGGAGGAACACCGGUGGCGAAGGCGGCCUGCUGGACUGCAACUGACGUUGAGGCCCGAAAGCGUGGGGAGCAAACAGGAUUAGAUACCCCGGUAUC